rnacentral:tRNA from 1 species
CGUUAGCUCAGCUGGCAGAGCAGGGGACUUUUAAUCCCAAGGUCAUGGGUUCGAACCCCAUACGGC